UACGAAGGGUGCAAACGUUGCUCGGAAUUAUUGGGCGUAAAGCGCACGUAGGCGGCUUGGCAAGUCGGAUGUGAAAUCCCUCGGCUCAACCAAGGAAGUGCAUCCGAAACUGCUGAGCUUGAGUACUUAAGAGGAUCGCGGAAUUCCCGGUGUAGAGGUGAAAUUCGUAGAUAUCGGGAAGGAACACCAGUGGCGAAGGCGGCGAUCUGGGAAGAUACUGACGCUGAGACGCGAAAAGCGUGGGGAGCAAACAGG
rnacentral:rRNA from 1 species